GAUCAUGGCUCAGGAUGAACGCUGGCGGCGUGCUUAACACAUGCAAGUCGAGCGAAGCGGUUUCAAUGAAGUUUUCGGAUGGAUUUGAAAUUGACUUAGCGGCGGACGGGUGAGUAACGCGUGGGUAACCUGCCUUACACUGGGGGAUAACAGUUAGAAAUGACUGCUAAUACCGCAUAAGCGCACAGGGCCGCAUGGUCUGGUGUGAAAAACUCCGGUGGUGUAAGAUGGACCCGCGU
rnacentral:rRNA from 1 species